rnacentral:rRNA from 1 species
GGCGAACGCUGGCGGCGUGCUUAACACAUGCAAGUCGAACGGAAAGGCCCUGCGUUCUUGGGCUGCUGGGUGGGCAAAGGCGUGAGUAACACGUGAGUAACCUGCUCUUGACUUUGGUGUAACUUCAGGUAACUGGGGUUAAUACCGGAUAGCAUCCCCUCCUCCAUGGUAGGCAUUGGAAAUUUUCGGCGGUUGGGGAUGGACUCGCGGCUUAUCGGCUUGCUGGUUGGGUAGUUGCUUACCAAGGCUUUGACGGGUAGCCGGCAUGAGAGGGUGACCGGCCACCUUGCGCCUGCGAGACGGCCCAGAGUGCUACGGGAGGCAGCAGUGGGGAGUAUUGCACAAUGGUCGGAAGUCUGAUGCAGAAACGCCGCGUGUGGGAUGCCGGCCUUCGGGUUGUAAAACGCUUUCGCCUGUGACGAAGCGGGAGUGACGGUAAUGGGUAAAGAAGCACCGGCUAACUACGUG